rnacentral:rRNA from 1 species
AGAGUUUGAUCAUGGCUCAGGAUGAACGCUAGCGGCAGGCCUAAUACAUGCAAGUCGAACGGUAACAUUGGUGCUUGCACCAGAUGACGAGUGGCGCACGGGUGCGUAACGCGUAUGCAAUCUACCUUUUACUAGAGUAUAGCCCAGAGAAAUUUGGAUUAAUCCACUAUAAUAUCUUUUAAUUUCAUGAUUUUAAGAUUAAAGUUUUAACGGUAAAAGAUGAGCAUGCGUCCUAUUAGUUUGUAGGUGAGGUAACGGCUCACCUAGACUACGAUAGGUAGGGGCCCUGAGAGGGGGAUCCCCCACACUGGUACUGAGACACGGACCAGACUCCUACGGGAGGCAGCAGUAAGGAAUAUUGGACAAUGGACGAAAGUCUGAUCCAGCCAUGCCGCGUGCAGGAUGAAAGCCCUACGGGUUGUAAACUGCUUUUAUACAGGAAGAAACACUCCGACGUGUCGGAGCUUGACGGUACUGUAAGAAUAAGGAUCGGCUAACUCCGUGCCAGCAGCCGCGGUAAUACGGAGGAUCCAAGCGUUAUCCGGAAUCAUUGGGUUUAAAGGGUCCGCAGGCUGUUUUUUAAGUCAGAGGUGAAAUCCUACAGCUCAACUGUAGAACUGCCUUUGAUACUGAAAAACUUGAGUUAUUGUGAAGUGGGUUANAAUGUGUGGUGUACCGGUGAAAUGCAUANAUNUCNCNCAGAAUACCGAUUGCGAAGGCA